UACGUAGGGUGCAAGCGUUAAUCGGAAUUACUGGGCGUAAAGCGCGUGUAGGCGGCUUGGUAAGUCCGGUGUGAAACCUUGGGGCUCAACCCCAAGCCUGCAUCGGAAACUGCCUCGCUCGAGUCCGGGAGGGGAGAGCGGAAUUCCUAGUGUAGCGGUGAAAUGCGCAGAUAUUAGGAAGAACACCGGUGGCGAAGGCGGCUCUCUGGAACGGUACUGACGCUGAGGAGCGAAAGCGUGGGGAGCGAACAGG
rnacentral:rRNA from 1 species